GAAAGUGUAGCUCAGUGGUAGGGUGUGUGCUUAACAUGCAUAAAUCCCUGGGUUUGACCCCCACCACUGCA
rnacentral:tRNA from 1 species